rnacentral:tRNA from 1 species
GCGUUCUUAGCUCAGUCCGGUAGAGCACUAUCUUGACGUGAUAGGGGUCGAUGGUUCGAAUCCAUUAGAACGCA